rnacentral:lncRNA from 1 species
CACAGGUCCAGAUCUGAGCGCCCAUCCCUAAAGCAAUGGUGGUGAGAGGAGGAGGCAGAGAGAGGAGAUCUUGGUGCUCCAUACUAAAACCCUUCCAUGCCCAGACCUUACACUUCCUGUGGAGGAGGAACUCUGUGCUAUCCCCAUGGAAUGGGAAGGAUUUGGAUGCUGUCCUGUGUUAUGUGGAAGCAUGCAGCAAUCUGGUCUGGAUGAAGAAAAUACCUCAGAAAACCCAAGAGGAAUUUUUGCUUAGACAGUUUCUCUCAUGA